AUUGCCCUAGUAACGGCGAGUGAAGCGGCAACAGCUCAAAUUUGAAAUCUGGCUCUUUCAGAGUCCGAGUUGUAAUUUGCAGAGGGCGCUUUGGUGUUGGCAGCGGUCCAAGUUCCUUGGAACAGGACGUCACAGAGGGUGAGAAUCCCGUACGUGGUCGCUAGCCUCCGCCGUGUAAAGCCCCUUCGACGAGUCGAGUUGUUUGGGAAUGCAGCUCUAAAUGGGAGGUAAAUUUCUUCUAAAGCUAAAUACUGGCCAGAGACCGAUAGCGCACAAGUAGAGUGAUCGAAAGAUGAAAAGCACUUUGGAAAGAGAGUCAAAUAGCACGUGAAAUUGUUGAAAGGGAAGCGCUUGCAGCCAGACUUGCCUGUAGUUGCUCAUCUGGGCUUUUGCCCGGUGCAUUCUUCUGCAGGCAGGCCAGCAUCAGUUUGGGCGGUUGGAUAAAGGUCUCUGUCAUGUACCUCUCUUCGGGGAGGCCUUAUAGGGGAGACGUCAUGCAACCAGCCUGGACUGAGGUCCGCGCAUUUGCUAGGAUGCUGGCGUAAUGGCUGUAAGCGGCCCGUCUUGAAACACGGACCAAGGAGUCUAACAUCUAUGCGAGUGUUUGGGUGUCAAGCCCGAGCGCGUAAUGAAAGUGAACGGAGGUGGGAACCCUUUUGGGGUGCACCAUCGACCGAUCCUGAUGUCUUCGGAAGGAUUUGAGUAAGAGCAUGGCUGUUGGGACCCGAAAGAUGGUGAACUAUGCUUGAAUAGGGUGAAGCCAGAGGAAACUCUGGUGGAGGCUCGCAGCGGUUCUGACGUGCAAAUCGAUCGUCAAAUUUGGGCAUAGGGGCGAAAGACUAAUCGAACUU
rnacentral:rRNA from 1 species